rnacentral:rRNA from 1 species
UAAGCGGAGGAAAAGAAACCAACAGGGAUUGCCCCAGUAACGGCGAGUGAAGCGGCAACAGCUCAAAUUUGAAAUCUGGCCCCAGGCCCGAGUUGUAAUUUGCAGAGGAUGCUUUUGGCGCGGUGCCUUCCGAGUUCCCUGGAACGGGACGCCAUAGAGGGUGAGAGCCCCGUACGGUUGGACACCAAGCCUUUGUAAAGCUCCUUCGACGAGUCGAGUAGUUUGGGAAUGCUGCUCUAAAUGGGAGGUACAUUUCUUCUAAAGCUAAAUAUUGGCCAGAGACCGAUAGCGCACAAGUAGAGUGAUCGAAAGAUGAAAAGCACUUUGAAAAGAGGGUUAAACAGCACGUGAAAUUGUUAAAAGGGAAGCGCUUGUGACCAGACUUGCGUCCGGUGAAUCACCCAGCUCUCGCGGCUGGGGCACUUCGCCGGCACAGGCCAGCAUCAGCUUGCCGUCGGGGACAAAAGCUUCAGGAACGUAGCUCCUCUCGGGGAGUAUUAUAGCCUGUUGCACAAUACCCUUCGGCGGGCUGAGGUACGCGCUCCGCAAGGAUGCUGGCGUAAUGGUCAUCAGCGACCCGUCUUGAAACACGGACCAAGGAGUCAACCUUAUGUGCGAGUGUUUGGGUGUUAAACCCCUACGCGUAAUGAAAGUGAACGCAGGUGAGAGCUUCGGCGCAUCAUCGACCGAUCCUGAUGUUCUCGGAUGGAUUUGAGUAAGAGCAUAUAGGGUUGGACCCGAAAGAAGGUGAACUAUGCGUGUGUAGGGUGAAGCCAGAGGAAACUCUGGUGGAGGCUCGCAGCGGUUCUGACGUGCAAAUCGAUCGUCAAACAUGCGCAUGGGGGCGAAAGACUAAUCGAACCUUCUAGUAGCUGGUUC